rnacentral:rRNA from 2 species
GGAUGCGAUCAUACUAGCACUAAAGCACCGGAUCCCAUCAGAACUCUGAAGUUAAGCAUGCUUGGGCGAGAGUAGUACUAGGAUGGGUGACCUCCUGGGAAGUCCUCGUGUUGCAUUCC